CCAGCGAACUUGGCAGAGAUGCCUUGGUGCCUUCGGGAGCGCUGAGACAGGUGCUGCAUGGCUGUCGUCAGCUCGUGUUGUGAAAUGUUGGGUUAAGUCCCGNAACGAGCGCAACCCUUAUCCUUUGUUGCCAGCGAUUCGGUCGGGAACUCAAAGGAGACUGCCGGUGAUAAACCGGAGGAAGGUGGGGAUGACGUCAAGUCAUCAUGGCCCUUACGAGUAGGGCUACACACGUGCUACAAUAGCGCAUACAAAGAGAAGCGACCUCGCGAGAGCAAGCGGACCUCAUAAAGUGCGUCGUAGUCCGGAUCGGAGUCUGCAACUCGACUCCGUGAAGUCGGAAUCGCUAGUAAUCGUGGAUCAGAAUGCCACGGUGAAUACGUUCCCGGGCCUUGUACACACCGCCCGUCACACCAUGGGAGUGGGUUGCAAAAGAAGUAGGUAGCUUAACCUCCGGGAGGGCGCUUACCACUUUGUGAUUCAUGACUGGGGUGAAGUCGUAACAAGGUAAGCGUAGUGCU
rnacentral:rRNA from 1 species